rnacentral:misc_RNA from 1 species
UCCGGCUUAACGCCGGCAGUCUCACUAGAGUCCCCACCUUACGUGUUGGCAACUAAUGAUAAGGGUUGCGCUCGUUGCUGGACUUAACCAAACACCUCACGGCACGAGCUGACGACAGCCAUGCAGCACCUAUAUAACGGUCCUUGCGGAAAAUAUCAUCUCUGAUAUCGUCCAUUACAUUUCGAGCCUGGGUAAGGUUCUUCGCGUUGCAUCGAAUUAAGCCAUAUGCUCCACCGCUUGUGCGGGCCCCCGCCAAUUCCUUUGAGUUUUAAGCUUGCGCUCGUAGUUCCCAGGCGGAUCACUUAAUGCGUUAGCUGCGGCACCGAGGCAAAGCCCCAACACCUAGUGAUCAUCGUUUAUGGCCAAGACUAC